rnacentral:rRNA from 1 species
GGCGAACGGGUGAGUAACACGUGGGUGAUCUGCCUUGCACUUCGGGAUAAGCCUGGGAAACUGGGUCUAAUACCGGAUAGGACGAUGGUUUGGAUGCCAUUGUGGAAAGUUUUUCGGUGUGGGAUGAGCUCGCGGCCUAUCAGCUUGUUGGUGGGGUAAUGGCCUACCAAGGCGUCGACGGGUAGCCGGCCUGAGAGGGUGUACGGCCACAUUGGGACUGAGAUACGGCCCAG